GACGAACGCUGGCGGCGUGCUUAACACAUGCAAGUCGAACGGUAAGGCCCUUUCGGGGGUACACGAGUGGCGAACGGGUGAGUAACACGUGGGUGAUCUGCCCUGCACUUUGGGAUAAGCCUGGGAAACUGGGUCUAAUACCGGAUAGGACUACGCGAUGCAUGUCGUGUGGUGGAAAGCUUUUGCGGUGUGGGAUGGGCCCGCGGCCUAUCAGCUUGUUGGUGGGGUGAUGGCCUACCAAGGCGACGACGGGUAGCCGGCCUGAGAGGGUGUCCGGCCACACUGGGACUGAGAUACGGCCCAGACUCCUACGGGAGGCAGCAGGGGGGAAUAUUGCACAAUGGGCGCAAGCCUGAUGCAGCGACGCCGCGUGGGGGAUGACGGCCUUCGGGUUGUAAACCCCUUUCAGCACAGACGAAGCGUAAGUGACGGUAUGUGCAGAAGAAGCACCGGCCAACUACGU
rnacentral:rRNA from 1 species